AGUGAACGCUGGCGGUAGGCCUAACACAUGCAAGUCGAACGGCAGCACAGUAAGAGCUUGCUCUUACGGGUGGCGAGUGGCGGACGGGUGAGGAAUACAUCGGAAUCUACUUUUUCGUGGGGGAUAACGUAGGGAAACUUACGCUAAUACCGCAUACGACCUACGGGUGAAAGCAGGGGAUCUUCGGACCUUGCGCGAUUGAAUGAGCCGAUGUCGGAUUAGCUAGUUGGCGGGGUAAAGGCCCACCAAGGCGACGAUCCGUAGCUGGUCUGAGAGGAUGAUCAGCCAAACUGAACCUGGGAACGGUCCCGACCUCUAAGGGAAGGCGGAGUGGGGAAAUUUUGGAAAAUGGCGGAAGCCUGAUCCAGCCAUACCGCGUGGGUGAAGAAGGCCUUCGGGUUGUAAAGCCCUUUUGUUGGGAAAGAAAAGCAGCAGGUUAAUACCCCGCUGUUCUGACGGUACCCAAAGAAUAAGCACCGGCUAACUUCGUG
rnacentral:rRNA from 1 species